GACGUAGGGCGCGAGCGUUGUCCGGAUUUAUUGGGCGUAAAGAGCUCGUAGGCGGCUCGUUGCGUCAACCGUGAAAACCCGGGGCUCAACCCCGGGCCUGCAGUGGAUACGGGCUGGCUAGAGGCAGGCAGGGGAGAACGGAAUUCCUGGUGUAGCGGUGAAAUGCGCAGAUAUCAGGAGGAACACCGGUGGCGAAGGCGGUUCUCUGGGCCUGUACUGACGCUGAGGAGCGAAAGCGUGGGGAGCGAACAGG
rnacentral:rRNA from 1 species